CGGGGAGUGGCGCAGCUUGGCAGCGCACCUGCUUUGGGAGCAGGGGGUCGGGGGUUCGAAUCCCCCCUCCCCGACCA
rnacentral:tRNA from 4 species